rnacentral:lncRNA from 1 species
AAAAUGUAGUUAGAAAAAUGACUCCUUAUAAGAAACCAAGAUUAAUUACAUCACUUGUGUAUUUGAGUUCACUUGGAUAGUAAAUAAGGCCAACUGACCAGUAUAAAAAGACAAGUUGGCAACCACGACAAUUGCUCCUAUGGGCCACACAUGACUAGAAACAAGUAGGAAAUAGCACUACAGGCAUUGAAUAAGUCCCUCUAAAGAGAUCCAUGCAUAUGAUUUUCCUCCGUAGUGCUCUCUCACAAGCCUAGCGUACCAUAUUACCGAAAUUAUGACAUUUUCAAUCUAUAUUGAAUCAAAACUUUCUUUAGCAAACUGAAAUCACUUACAUUUGUAACAGUGACCAUUCAAGUUUAUUUGAACCUC